rnacentral:rRNA from 1 species
CCCUUAGAUGUUCUGGGCCGCACGCGCGCUACACUGAUACGUUCAACGAGUUUACAACCUUGAUCGAAGGGUCUGGGUAAUCUUUUGAAUGCGUAUCGUGCUAGGGAUAGACUAUUGCAAUUAUUAGUCUUGAACGAGGAAUUCCUAGUAAACGCAAGUCAUCAGCUUGCAUUGAUUACGUCCCUGCCCUUUGUACACACCGCCCGUCGCACCUACCGAUUGGAUGGUCCGGUGAAGCCUCGGGAUUGUGGUUCUUGCCGCUUUAUUGUGGCGUGACCGCGAGAACUUGUCUAAACCUUAUCAUCUAGAGGAAGGUGAAGUCGUAACA